CAGGGCACAAUAUCCAAGUCCAAUAUCAUCCCUCUGGUCUAACCCAUUCCCAAAUCCAAACUUGAAACCAUCUGCGACUUGGAUUCUCUCUCUAGUCUCUGAGUCUCUCGCCUCGAGCUCUCGACGCCUUCUAUCAGUGAUUCAACAGAAGAAGAAGGUGAAGAAGCCAGAAGAUCUCUCGUUUCUCGGCCUCUUUCUCAAGGUCUCUCGCCUUCACUGCCUUCAGUUACUUUGAAGGGCAAGUGAUGCUUUUGAUUUUUUGAAGUAUUGUGCUAUUUGCUAAGAAAAGGGUCCAAAGGCUAAAAGGGUUAAGGAGGUUCAACUUUUCAAGAUUUAAUAUGGAAGAAGAUCGACCUUCUAACAAGAAAGGAAGAACCUUGUUGUCUUUUUUUUCAAAAAGUAAUAAAUCUCAAGAUUCUCCAAUUCCUACGGCGCCCAUUCCUCCAAUUUCAUCCCCAGAAGUUGUACGGCCUUCGUCUUCCAAUCUUAAUGUAGAACCAUCUGAUUCUAUUGAACGGGACCCUGGAAAAAGAAAACAAAUAUGUGAACAUCCACAUAACGAACGCGAUCAGAUUAGACGAGCUUAUCUAAAUGUUGGACCUUA